rnacentral:rRNA from 1 species
GUGGGGAAUAUUGCACAAUGGGGGAAACCCUGAUGCAGCGACGCCGCGUGGAGGAAGAAGGUCUUCGGAUUGUAAACUCCUGUUGUUGAGGAAGAUAAUGACGGUACUCAACAAGGAAGUGACGGCUAACUACGUGCCAGCAGCCGCGGUAAAACGUAGGUCACAAGCGUUGUCCGGAAUUACUGGGUGUAAAGGGAGCGCAGGCGGGAAGACAAGUUGGAAGUGAAAUCCAUGGGCUCAACCCAUGAACUGCUUUCAAAACUGUUUUUCUUGAGUAGUGCAGAGGUAGGCGGAAUUCCCGGUGUAGCGGUGGAAUGCGUAGAUAUCGGGAGGAACACCAGUGGCGAAGGCGGCCUACUGGGCACCAACUGACGCUGAGGCUCGAAAGUGUGGGUAGCAAACAGGAUUAGAUACCCUUGUAGUCC